UACGUAGGGUGCGAGCGUUGUCCGGAAUUAUUGGGCGUAAAGAGCUUGUAGGCGGCUUGUCGCGCCUGCUGUGAAAAUCCGAGGCUCAACCUCGGACUUGCAGUGGGUACGGGCAGGCUAGAGUGUGGUAGGGGAGACUGGAAUUCCUGGUGUAGCGGUGAAAUGCGCAGAUAUCAGGAGGAACACCGGUGGCGAAGGCGGUUCUCUGGGAAUAUCCUGACGCUGAGGAGCGAAAGUGUGGGGAGCGAACAGG
rnacentral:rRNA from 1 species